rnacentral:rRNA from 1 species
UACGGGGGGAGCAAGCGUUGUUCGGAUUUACUGGGCGUAAAGGGCGCGUAGGCGGUCAGCACAAGUCAGUUGUGAAAUCUCCGGGCUUAACUCGGAAAGGUCAACUGAUACUGUGCGACUAGAGUGCGGAAGGGGCAACUGGAAUUCUUGGUGUAGCGGUGAAAUGCGUAGAUAUCAAGAGGAACACCUGCGGCGAAGGCGGGUUGCUGGGCUGACACUGACGCUGAGGCGCGAAAGCUAGGGGAGCGAACGGG